rnacentral:rRNA from 1 species
GAUGAACGCUGGCGGCGUGCCUAAUACAUGCAAGUCGAGCGAACGGACGAGAAGCUUGCUUCUCUGAUGUUAGCGGCGGACGGGUGAGUAACACGUGGAUAACCUACCUAUAAGACUGGGAUAACUUCGGGAAACCGGAGCUAAUACCGGAUAAUAUUUUGAACCGCAUGGUUCAAAAGUGAAAGACGGUCUUGCUGUCACUUAUAGAUGGAUCCGCGCUGCAUUAGCUAGUUGGUAAGGUAACGGCUUACCAAGGCAACGAUGCAUAGCCGACCUGAGAGGGUGAUCGGCCACACUGGAACUGAGACACGGUCCAGACUCCUACGGGAGGCAGCAGUAGGGAAUCUUCCGCAAUGGGCGAAAGCCUGACGGAGCAACGCCGCGUGAGUGAUGAAGGUCUUCGGAUCGUAAAACUCUGUUAUUAGGGAAGAACAUAUGUGUAAGUAACUGUGCACAUCUUGACGGUACCUAAUCAGAAAGCCACGGCUAACUACGUGCCAGCAGCCGCGGUAAUACGUAGGUGGCAAGCGUUAUCCGGAAUUAUUGGGCGUAAAGCGCGCGUAGGCGGUUUUUUAAGUCUGAUGUGAAAGCCCACGGCUCAACCGUGGAGGGUCAUUGGAAACUGGAAAACUUGAGUGCAGAAGAGGAAAGUGGAAUUCCAUGUGUAGCGGUGAAAUGCGCAGAGAUAUGGAGGAACACCAGUGGCGAAGGCGACUUUCUGGUCUGUAACUGACGCUGAUGUGCGAAAGCGUGGGGAUCAAACAGGAUUAGAUACCCUGGUAGUCCACGCCGUAAACGAUGAGUGCUAAGUGUUAGGGGGUUUCCGCCCCUUAGUGCUGCAGCUAACGCAUUAAGCACUCCGCCUGGGGAGUACGACCGCAAGGUUGAAACUCAAAGGAAUUGACGGC